rnacentral:rRNA from 1 species
CCUACGGGAGGCAGCAGUGAGGAAUAUUGGUCAAUGGCCGAGAGGCUGAACCAGCCAAGUCGCGUGAGGGAAGACGGCCCUACGGGUUGUAAACCUCUUUUGUCGGGGAGCAAAUCGAGUCACGUGUGACUCAUUGAGAGUACCCGAAGAAAAAGCAUCGGCUAACUCCGUGCCAGCAGCCGCGGUAAUACGGAGGAUGCGAGCGUUAUCCGGAUUUAUUGGGUUUAAAGGGUGCGCAGGCGGAGGUGCAAGUCAGCGGUCAAAUUGCGGGGCUCAACCCCGUCCUGCCGGUGAAACUGCAUCCCGUGAGUGGGCGAGAAGUAUGCGGAAUGCGUGGUGUAGCGGUGAAAGGCAUAGAUA